rnacentral:rRNA from 1 species
AGUGAACGCUGGCGGUAGGCCUAACACAUGCAAGUCGAACGGCAGCACAGUAAGAGCUUGCUCUUACGGGUGGCGAGUGGCGGACGGGUGAGGAAUACAUCGGAUUCUACUUUUUCGUGGGGGAUAACGUAGGGAAACUUACGCUAAUACCGCAUACGACCUACGGGUGAAAGCAGGGGAUCUUCGGACCUUGCGCGAUUGAAUGAGCCGAUGUCGGAUUUGCUAGUUGGCGGGGUAAAGGCCCACCAAGGCGACGAUCCGUAGCUGGUCUGAGAGGAUGAUCAGCCACACUGGAACUGAGACACGGUCCAGACUCCUACGGGAGGCAGCAGUGGGGAAUAUUGGACAAUGGGCGCAAGCCUGAUCCAGCCAUACCGCGUGGGUGAAGAAGGCCUUCGGGUUGUAAAGCCCUUUUGUUGGGAAAGAAAAGCAGCAGGUUAAUACCCCGCUGUUCUGACGGUACCCAAAGAAUAAGCACCGGCUAACUUCGUG